CGCUGUGAUGAUGAACACGAGUGCAGCUGAUCUCAGAUCAGAGCUCGUAUCUGGAGCCGGUCUGAAGAGCAAAGGCUCGGAGAGGGAUGCAACAAUUAAAAUCAACAGGAAGCUACUUUGCCUGCGGUACGGCCCACUCCGUCCAAAAUAAAACUUAUAUAAAGCACCACAAAGAGCGGCUGAAAGUAGGACAGUCAAACUCGGACUCAUGUGCCGUCUCGGCCUGGACUUACUGUUACUGUUCUCACGGUACAUUCAUCACUGCAAAAUAUCUACUUCUCAGAAAACUGUCCACAAAUAUUGAUGAUCAGGGGUGUAUACAAAUAUUUGUCCAAUCAAACGCUCUCCAGAAUGAGAACGCCCCUCCCACUAAUACCAGCUGCCACUGACUAGUAUCCACUAGUAAAUCGCAGUUCUUGGCUGGGACAUAAACUAAAGGUUACUGUCUAUUUUAAAAACAAGACAAGCCAUUCAUCAUGUAGGAAUGAUAAACAAAACAAUGGAUGGAUGAACCGACAAAGAACAUUAGAAAGAACAUUAGAAAAAUUAUGAAUGGAUAUAUGGAUAGAAUGACAGAAUGAUAGAUGAAAUGACAAAGAUGAAUAGAUGGCUAGAAUGACAGAACAAUUAAAAAAUGAUAGAACAAAGAAAGUAAUAAAUGGAUGGAUGGAAAGAAUAACAUAAUGAUAGAUGAAAUGACAAAAAGAUGGACAGAUAGAAUGAUAGAACAACAGAAAACAAAUGGAUGGAUGAAUCAACAGAUACUGUAGAUGGAUGGAAUGAUCAACAGAUUGAUGGAAGGAUGCAUGAAUGGAUGUGAUAGAUGGAUAUACUGAUAGAACAAACAAUGGAUGGAUGGAUGGAUAAAGAACAGCAGACGGACAAUUUCAAAUCGUGCCUAAAUCAUCCGUGAUAGUUCACUGAAAAUUGGAAGUUCUGUCAGAUAUUUUGAAGAACGCUGCCGUCCUAAUAACAUCCACUCCACUGACAUUCAUGAUUUGGAAUGACAUGAGGCAGAGUAAACGAUGACAGAAUGUGAACUGUCCCUUUAAAUCUAGUCCUGCAUUCUUAAUGAAUGCAAACGCAACUUUACUAGUCUUAAAUUAUUAGCAAUACAAUCAAAUAGCAUGUCUGCUUCACAGAAAACUUGUCAACAGAAGUCAAACCGGCUGAACUCAUGAACACAAUUGCAGUGGAAUGACUUGAGGAAUUCCUCAAGUAUUUCUUCGGUCACCCGGUCCCUGUAUUGAUCACGGUCACCGUGAACUAAGAAACUAUUUUGAGGAAAACAAUGGCCGGGAAUAUUCGCCAACAGACAGCUGAGGAACCCGCUUGGAUGAGUGACAAAACAAAUGAACAACAUGUUUGGGUGCUUUUGAUUGAACUUCUAUCAGACAUGAGAAGCUGGAUUUUGAAAACAUGUCCUCCCCGACAGUGAAGCCCAGCAGCUCCGUUCACCUCAGAUCCUCAACAAAAGUUUGAAUCUCUCAAAUAAAACACAGACUGAUCAAUAAAUAUGACCAUACCUGCAGAAUCAAUAUUAAUGCUGGUAAUCGCCUGAUAGAAUACAAAUGAAAUUAAACACAGACAGUGUUAUCAAGACCAAAUUUGGGCAUGGCUUACUCAAACAUUUUUAAAGUGAGUCAUUACAAACCUAAUCGACUGUAGUUAUUCUGUAGAACACAAGAUAUUAAUCAGAAACCAGCACAAUAUAAAUGAAAAAUAUUUUUCCAUCUUAUAAUUUACAGUGUAAAAACAUAAAU